UACGGAGGGGGCUAGCGUUAUUCGGAAUUACUGGGCGUAAAGCGCACGUAGGCGGAUGGACAAGUUGGGGGUGAAAUCCCAGGGCCCAACCCUGGAACUGCCUUCAAAACUGUCUAUCUUGAGGUCGUGAGAGGUGAGUGGAAUUCCGAGUGUAGAGGUGAAAUUCGUAGAUAUUCGGAGGAACACCAGUGGCGAAGGCGGCUCGCUGGCUCGAUACUGACGCUGAGGUGCGAAAGCGUGGGGAGCAAACAGG
rnacentral:rRNA from 1 species